GCAUUGGGACAGAUCUUAGAUCUUACUCCUCUCCGUUGUCCAAGCUCCUUAUCGAGAAGAUUUUAUUCAAGGUCAAGUUGAGUCCGGCCAACCCGAAGGGUAAGUAAUUUUUUGCAACUUAUUUGGUUCAGACUUAUUUCCUUUUGACUAAUCUCGUCCUUCAUACAGCAAUGAAUCUCAAGGAUUUGGAAGCUCUUCGUCAGGCCAUGA
rnacentral:lncRNA from 1 species